AAACUUGUCCUUGAGCCCUCAAAUCCCUAUCUUGGUCCCUGCCGGGGCAACUCGGCUAUGUCGGUAGACUGUCGCGUGGAAUAAACACUUCGGACCCGGGGGGCAGUACCCCGGCGCCUCCACCACCAGCCGCAGGCCGAAGAUUUUCGGCGGUUGCUGACGGGGGCGAAAUAGGAUCGACGAGUGCAAUAAAGACGCGGUUGCCGAUCGGUAUGGAUGCCACCGUGACGGCUCAAUCACACAAGUGCCAACGAUAACGAGGCGCUCGCUAUUGCUGCGUAACUGACGGCCUGACGGUCUGACGUUACAAAGCUAAAGCGCGGUUGGACCCCACCGGGCAACAGAAGGGGAUUCC
rnacentral:tmRNA from 1 species